UACAGAGGGUGCAAGCGUUAAUCGGAAUUACUGGGCGUAAAGCGUGCGCAGACGGUCUCGUAAGUCGGGUGUGAAAUCCCCGGGCUCAACCUGGGAAUUGCAUUCGAAACUGCGAGGCUAGGGUACGGAAGAGGGAAGCGGAAUUUCUGGUGUAGCGGUGAAAUGCGUAGAUAUCAGAAGGAACAUCAGUGGCGAAAGCGGCUUCCUGGUCCAGUACCGACGUUCAGGCACGAAAGCGUGGGGAGCGAACGGG
rnacentral:rRNA from 1 species